CCUACGGAGGCUGCCGUGGGGAAUAUUGGACAAUGGGCGAAAGUCUGAUCCAGCCAUGCCGCGUGUGUGAAGAAGGCCUUCGGGUUGUAAAGCACUUUCAGUGGGGAAGAAAGCCUUGGGGCUAAUACCCUCGAGGAAGGACAUCACCCACAGAAGAAGCACCGGCUAACUCCGUGCCAGCAGCCGCGGUAAUACGGAGGGUGCGAGCGUUAAUCGGAAUUACUGGGCGUAAAGCGCGCGUAGGCGGUCUGAUAAGCCGGUUGUGAAAGCCCCGGGCUCAACCUGGGAACGGCAUCCGGAACUGUCAGGCUAGAGUGCAGGAGAGGAAGGUAGAAUUCCCGGUGUAGCGGUGAAAUGCGUAGAGAUCGGGAGGAAUACCAGUGGCGAAGGCGGCCUUCUGGACUGACACUGACGCUGAGGUGCGAAAGCGUGGGUAGCAAACAGGAUUAGAUACCCGUGUAGUC
rnacentral:rRNA from 1 species